rnacentral:ncRNA from 20 species
GGGUGCGGCGCCGUGCGGGCGCCGCAGGUUCUCGCGCAGGUCGGGCCGCCGCG